AUGCUCGGCCAGGAAUUGAACCCGGGCCGCCCGCGUGGCAGGCGAGCAUUCUACCACUGAACCACCGA
rnacentral:tRNA from 1 species